ACGAACGCUGGCGGCGUGCCUAAUACAUGCAAGUCGAGCGGAGUGAUGAAGAAGCUUGCUUCUCUAACUUAGCGGCGGACGGGUGAGUAACACGUGGGCAAUCUGCCCGUAAGACUGGGAUAACUCCGGGAAACCGGGGCUAAUACCGGAUAAUCCUGACUCUCUCCUGAGAGUCAGUUGAAAGAUGGUUUCGGCUAUCACUUACGGAUGAGCCCGCGGCGCAUUAGCUAGUUGGUAGGGUAAUGGCCUACCAAGGCGACGAUGCGUAGCCGACCUGAGAGGGUGAUCGGCCACACUGGGACUGAGACACGGCCCAGACUCCUACGGGAGGCAGCAGUAGGGAAUCUUCCGCAAUGGACGAAAGUCUGACGGAGCAACGCCGCGUGAGUGAAGAAGGUUUUCGGAUCGUAAAACUCUGUUGUUAGGGAAGAACACGUACGAGAGUAACUGCUCGUACCUUGACGGUACCUAACCAGAAAGCCACGGCUAACUACGUG
rnacentral:rRNA from 1 species